CCUUUUUCUUUUAGGGUCCAGUGUGCUUUGAAGAUGUCGCUGUUUGUUUCACGGACGAGGAGUGGGCAUUGCUGGAUCCUGACCAGAGAGCUCUGCAUAAGGACGUCAUGGAGGAGAAUCGUGGGAUUGUGGCCUCUCUUGGUAAGGCUCUCUGUGGGAUCGUCAUAUUUGCCUGGAAAUUCAAAAUGAAUAUCUAUGUGAUGAACCUCCCAG